AACGAACGCUGGCGGCGUGGCUAAGGCAUGCAAGUCGAACGGACCCCUGGAUGGGUAACUUGAAAGGGAGUCAGUGGCGAACGGGUGAGUAAUGAAUGGGUAACGUCCCCCGGACUCAGGGAUAACGGCGUCCGUCGCAAGGCGGGCUUUGCGAAAGUGUCGGUAAUACCUGAUGACCCCGCGUGGUCGCAUGAUCGUGCGGGCAAAGCUCCGGCGGUCUGGGAUCGGCCCAUUUCCUAUCAGCUAGUUGGUGAGGUAACGGCUCACCAAGGCUUCGACGGGUACCGGGUGUGAGAGCAUGACCCGGCACAUCGGAACUGAGACACGGUCCGGACACCUACGGGUGGCUGCAGCAACGAAUAUUCCGCAAUGGGCGAAAGCCUGACGGAGCGACGCCGCGUGCAGGAUGAAGUCCUUCGGGAUGUAACUAGCUGUCGGGGGUCGAGGAAAGUACACUGAUCAGCCCCACCAGGAAGCCAUGGCUAACUCUGUGCCAGCAGCCGC
rnacentral:rRNA from 1 species